GGGAAUUUAGCUCAGUGGUAGAGCGCUUGCCUAGCAAGCACAAGGCCGUGGGUUCGGUCCCCAGCUCCA
rnacentral:tRNA from 1 species